AUUGAACGCUGGCGGCAUGCCUUACACAUGCAAGUCGAACGGUAACGCGGGGCAACCUGGCGACGAGUGGCGAACGGGUGAGUAACGCAUCGGAACGUGCCCAGUAGUGGGGGAUAGCCCGGCGAAAGCCGGAUUAAUACCGCAUACGACCUACGGGUGAAAGCGGGGGAUCGCAAGACAUCGCGCUAUUGGAGCGGCCGAUGUCAGAUUAGGUAGUUGGGGGGGUAAAGGCCUACCAAGCCGACGAUCUGUAGCGGGUCUGAGAGGACGACCAGCCACACUGGGACUGAGACACGGCCCAGACUCCUACGGGAGGCAGCAGUGGGGAAUUUUGGACAAUGGGCGCAAGCCUGAUCCAGCCAUGCCGCGUGCGGGAUGAAGGCCUUCGGGUUGUAAACCGCUUUUGUCAGGGAAGAAACGCUCUGGGCUAAUACCCCGGGGUAAUGACGGUACCUGAAGAAUAAGCACCGGCUAACUACGUGCCAGCCGCCGCAGUAAAAC
rnacentral:rRNA from 1 species